UAGGGAAUCUUCCGCAAUGGGCGAAAGCCUGACGGAGCAACGCCGCGUGAGUGAUGAAGGUCUUCGGAUCGUAAAACUCUGUUAUUAGGGAAGAACAAAUGUGUAAGUAACUAUGCACGUCUUGACGGUACCUAAUCAGAAAGCCACGGCUAACUACGUGCCAGCAGCCGCGGUAAUACGUAGGUGGCAAGCGUUAUCCGGAAUUAUUGGGCGUAAAGCGCGCGUAGGCGGUUUUUUAAGUCUGAUGUGAAAGCCCACGGCUCAACCGUGGAGGGUCAUUGGAAACUGGAAAACUUGAGUGCAGAAGAGGAAAGUGGAAUUCCGUGUGUAGCGGUGAAAUGCGCAGAGAUAUGGAGGAACACCAGUGGCGGAGGCGACUUUCUGGUCUGUAACUGACGCUGAUGUGCGAAAGCGUGGGGAUCAAACAGG
rnacentral:rRNA from 1 species